UGUAAAAGAAACUGUUCCCAGUGUUUGUGCUGAGCCCAUAUCAAAACAAUCAUUCUCCAGUCAUCUUCAUUAUACAGAUAAAGUAUUUUUCAAGUGAGUAAAGCGAAAGUGCAAAUGCGCUAUAUCACUUUUUUUGAGUGCACAUCCCUGUCCACCAUCCUGGACUUUUGUUUAGUGGGAGGUGCCACAAAAUUCAUCUUGUUUCUAAAUGGGUGUUGUUUGGGACAAAUGAACUUGGUGAGGACUGGGACAGACCUGUUUAUCAGUGGAUGCUGCUGCUCCUGCUGCUGCCAGUGCAACAGCUCAAGGUGCAUGUGAUGGAUGCAUUUAAAGUUCCUAAAUGAAACUUUUGAAGGUUUUCAAAGUUUUGGCCAAUUCAUCAUGGGCUUACUUCAAAAGAUGUACAGAGACUUUCCUGUGUACUUUUCUCACCCAUGGAUAUACUAUCUCUAGCAAAAUGAUCGUGGAUAUACAAUUAUGUUAUUUUAUGAAAAUUAAAAGAAGGCUACACACAAAUUUGCUUAAGGAAAAUGAAGAUAGCUGAUGUUGAUAAAACUUGUUAAAGAUCCUGCUCUGCAGCGAUCCAGUAAUAAAAUUCCAGAGAUUCCACAUUGGAGACAUCUUUGUCCUUAAAAAAUCUACCUUCUUCCCCAUGAAAUGAACACCGCAGGGCAAAUUUACUACCACAGGAUAAUAGACCACCCAGUCUUUACCACCAGCAUCUGGAUGAAACUGACACUUUCGGAGGAGGGAAGCUGGCAAUGAUUAACAAAAGAAGCAUAGUUGCGUGGUACUCAUUUGAAAUACAGCGGAGGUUUGAAGGCGAGACAAAAUACAGACAGCAGCUGUGCCGACUGAGGAGGAGGGGAGAAGAGAGGAAGGGGCCCAAGGAUUGCUGACAAACAGAGCAUCUGUCAUCAUAUUCAACAUGGAAAUAGAGAAAAUCCUACCCAGAGGCCCCGUAUCUACUUUUGAACUGAAUUCCUUUGAUGAUAUAUGUUCUCACUGAGAAUUGAACACAAAAAGGACUCUCAUAGACACAUUUUAUAACAGCCACGAUGAGAGAUUCGCAGAAUGAAAAAAGACACAGCCACGUGGAACUGAAACAAACAGGAAACACGAGUCUAUUUCAGUUAUUAUCUGCCUUGAAUAAAACAACAGAGCGAUGAUUUCAUCAUGAAUGGGCAACAUUGCCUUGCAGUGUCAGGCUAUGAUGGAUCAUUUUCUCACGGGCUGACUAACUGUCUGAACUGUGGGAGGAACAAGAGAACAACUUUGGCUCAAACCCCAGUGAAAAGUUGGCUGUGCCGAGACAAUCAUUCUACUGAAACUAGUUGGAUUCUCAGGCAGUUUAAAUUGGUGGAGGAGGAAGGAGAUGGAAUAACCUUGACCUGACAGUGAGAUGGGAAUGAGAGCCAGCACCUCUGAUAGCCCCUGGGCUUUUAUCUUCCUACUCUAAAUAGCUUUUAAAUUAAAAUAAAUAUUUAAUGUUAUCUUUUGCUUUUGCUUAGAAUUUUACAAAGUGUAUGUGACAACAUUGUUAAACCUACAGGCAAAGACAUUUAAUGCAACAUGUUUACCCUUUAAUAGCCACAUGGAUUAGCAUCCUCUCUAUACACAAAAUUCUGAAUGUAAUAUGUACAUAUAUCAGAUUUUUUUUCUUGCUCGGUUAUGAUUCAUGCAAUCAUGAAUGGGUUUGGGUGUGUACUGUUUACCUAUGUACUAUGCACUUUCUGGGAUCUUUAAUAAGGGGAACUAAACUAAAAACAUUUUUGCAAUGAAAUGUAAAACUAUCUAAUAACUUGCUCAAAGAAAAGAAAUAAGGCCUAAUAAAUAGUAAUUUUAUGUAA